ACUCGCGGCGGGGCUGCUGGGUCUUCCAGGAGCGUGCAUGAGCGGACGCUGGCUACGGGUGGCCGGUCGGGAUGUAAACGGCUGCUGAGCUGGCAGUUCUGUGUCCCGAGGCUUCGGCCGGCCGCAGCCGCACAUACGCUGCGAGGAGGAGCUUUACGACUUCCCGGUCUUCGGGGCUGGGCGCAGCAAGGGCCAGACUCUGCCCUAGCAGGCGCUGCGCGCCAACCGGCGGGCACCUGUCGCAGAAGGUGCAACCGAUCGCACUGUCGCGCAGAAGCUCCUCAAUGGCCAGCUCCAGCUGCAGCCCCAGCCGCCCACUCGCCUCUCCUGAGCCUGGGCUGGAGUGCAGUGGUGUAAUCUCGGCUCACUGCAACCUCCGCCUCCUGAGUUCAAGCGAUUCUUCUGCCUCAGCCUGCCAGAGUUGCUGGGACUACAGGUGUGCACCACCACACCCAGGAGUUCAAGGCUGCAGUGAGCCAUGAUCGUGCCACUGCACUCCAGCCUGGGCAACACAGCGAGACCCUGACUCCACAAAUAAAUAAAUCAACAUCAUAUGAUCUGUACCAGGGUAUAGGCAGGUGCUAUGAUCUCCACUUUUCAUCCUCAACUCUAAGUUGAGUCAUACAUCAACCUCUAGUAAAAAGUGGCAUGCUCUCAGUCAAAGGGGUAAGCCCAAACCACGUGGAGAGAAUCUUAUCUCUUUUGAGAGCUAAUAUAAAAAGAAUUCCUCCUAGGCGUAAAAAUAUUGUGACAUCAGUUACUUAGGCUAAACAUGCCUAUUAUGCUAAGUGAGUUAUUAACAAUAAAUACUUUAACUUUGUGCCAUGUUAAUUAUCAUAAUCUGAUUUAUAAUUUGUUUUAACCUUAGGUUAAACAAUAACCUAAGUAAUAAACAAUAUCUUAAAACUUGAAAUAUAUGCUUUUUUGUUAAAAUAAAAAACAGUUUAAUUUGUUUGAGACAUUUAAUUUGUUUGGCAUGAUUAUUUCUUUUCUCAUAAAAUAUAUAUUAGUGCUUAAGAAUUUUAAGAGGUAUAGUCUUUCCUUUUAUAAUGGUGGUUGUUUUUAAAAUGAAUCUGUUAUUUCUGUUACAUGAAUACAGAUACUCCUUGACUUACGAUGGAGUUACAUCGCAAUAAACCCAUCGUAAGUUGAAAAUACUGUAAGUCAAAAAUGCACUUAAUACACUUACCUUACAAACAUCACACCUUUGCAUAGCCUAUCGUAAACAUCCUCAGAACACUUACAUUAAUAUUUGGGCAAAAUUAUCUAUCACAAAGCCUAUUUUAUAAUAAAGUGCUGAAUAUCUCAUGCAAUUUAUUAAAUAGUGAACUGAAAGUAAACAACAGAAUGAUUGUAUGGGUACUCUUAAGUAUGUUUUUAAAUGUGGAUCACUGCAUGCAGAUGACAUUCAUACUAUUGUAAAAUCAAAAAAAAGUAAAUUGUACCAUCAUAACUGAGGAAGUCUGCAGUUUAUGAUAAUGUAAGGAUUUUGGAAAACUGUUGCAAAUAUGUUAAAAUUAAUUUGUACUAAUCUCUUGCACAUUUGUAUAUUAAUUGAUUAAAUGCUUCACCUAUAGUUUUUUUCACAGAAUUCAUUUCAUUUAAAAUUUUAAGCUCAACUUUGAAAAUUAUAAACUGUGGGUUGAAAUAUUAUAAAUAAUACUUUUUGCUUAUUUUCUUUAAAAAUAUAAACCUAUAUCAAAUAUAUACAUGAUAUAUGUGUGUUUUUAUGUAUAGACACUCUGAAUGCAACACAUAUUUUUAUUUUACACUACAUCUUUUCUUUUAUUCCACAAAUCUUGUAUUAAUACUAAAUAUCAGUCGAAUUCCCAAGAUACUUUUUUAUGUGCCUGCAAAUAAGAAUUAUCCUACCUGAUCUUUUCAAAGUAACUUUACCAAUGAAAUAAAUUUGACUUUGUUUAAACAUUUCCAAUCUUGAGAGCUUCAGAAAUCUCAUGACAGAAGGUGUCCAUCCAUUUAGUAUUUGGCAAGUUACAAUUUCCGAGUUUCUUGUUUCCCUUCUGAGACACAUCAGGCAAAUGAGCUUUUUACUUGGAAUUAAACAGAUUGUUUUAUAUGUUGUGCUUCUAUCGUGUUAAUAAAAAGUUUCAUUAGUCUGUCCCUAGUGACUAAAUGUGGUAAUUAAUAGCAACAGUAUUGGGUGGGUGACUGUGUGAGUGUGCAUGUAGUAUAUAUUUGUGGUCUUUAAAGCUAUUUGUUUCAAUAAAGAUGACAGCAUCCAAGAUCCCCAAAAUUUCCAUUCUGAAAGUAUUUUAACAAUACAGUUUCUAAAACAACCUGCUAACUUUUCUGUUAAUGCACCUGUUGUUCUCUGACAUGAGAAAUGCUGCACUCACAUAAAUUGAACUGAAAAUGUUUAAGUUCUUCCUUAAAGUGAGAAAUUAGCUUCCCCUCAAAAUCAUCGGCAUAAUAAAAAUAUUGUAUCAUGAGAUGAAAGUAAUUCAGCAACUAAUAUUCUCUAAAGAGCUAGGCCAAGAUGUAUUUGACACAUAAUGUGCUAGACAUUUUGAAGAAAGUAAUACAGCUCUUGACUUAACCAGAGUAUAGCUAGGCACCUUCAAUGCUCAACUUCACUGAAAUAUCACCCAUCUAUUAAGAAACUUGACGCAUAGUGGGCAAAGUUUAAUAUGUUUCAGAUAUGGAAGGGAAUCUAAAGUAGUGAGGGGACAAGUGCAAGUUAUAAGACACAGAAUGAAUAUUGUUUUGUGUCACUAAGUGAAAAGCCAAAUGUACACUAUGAGAUUUAUGACAUAAGCCAAAAAGAAGAAAACAUUUGCAGUCCUGAACAUCAAUAUUUUCUUCAACUAUGUGAGCCAAUGAAAGAGAAACUCUGAAGAAAGAUUUAUACAAAAUUCACAGCUUAAAAGGGGCCAAUGGUAAUAGUAAUCUUUUAAAUAACUCUAUAAAACAUAACAAUUCAGGUGAAAGACGGGCCAUGGACAUAGACCACAUAUUCUAUCUCUGUCACCAAAUGAGUUAGUUUUCUACCGCAAUAUAGUUAUCUUAGGUUAUAUAUACACAAUAAUUUAGCAAAGAAGGGAGUGGCCAUUAAGGGAACAAAUCUAUAACUAGGAAGAAAUUUUCCCUGAUAAAAGGUCCUGACAGUAGCUUUAAAAAUACAAAACUGAUGACUGCUAUCACUCUGCUAACUUUCCAUUAUUACAGCUGUUUUGAUAGAUACGUAACUAUCUUCAGCUAUGAAGCAUAAAUUUUAUGUCAAGCAAGGUAAUGUCUGUUAGUGACAACCUAGCCAUAUUUCAAAAACUGUUGCUGCAGCGCAGGCAAUGAAAUGUUUAACUCUAGUAACUCUUUUAAGGGAUAUGGUCAAGGCAACUCAGUGGAGUAUGUCCAAGGGGCUUGCAACUUUCAUAGCAACCAUCACUUGAUGGCAUGUUACCUCCUCAUUCAUGAGAAGCUGUGGACAGAGACAGAAAAAUCAAGGAAACUGGAGCAAAGUAAACCUGUGUUCUCCAGACUGCUUAAUAGGGGUGGUAGCCCAGCGUUUUAGUUUUGUUUUGUUUUGUUUUCAGCUUUGGCAUUAAUUACAGAGAUAAAGAGAGGAAAACGAUUACAGAUACACUAGGAUUCUUCAUUUUAGCAGUUGUGUUUUCUGAAUACAAUAGGCAACGAGCCAUAUGUUUAAAUACCGUAACCUAAUGACCCCUUUGCACACUCAAACCCCUUACAGGACGGGGAGCAUGCAGACUGGCAGGUACAUGAGCUUAGACGAGUGCUUUGGGGCUCCAGCCCCGUGGUAGCAUUUAGAGGUGAGUGCCUGUGACUCCCAAAGCCCACAUGGGUGUGGCCUGUCUUACCGUGUGCUCUUUUAGCUUUGCCAUCCACAUACGGCUUAAGUGUUCACCAGCUCAGUGCCCUCUUGGCACCCAGGUCUUUGUCCAAUAUCCAGGAAGAAUCAUGUCACACAUGAACAUGAAGAUUGUGAAUGCAGGGGUUUUACUGAGUGGUGGAGGUGGUGCUCAGCAGGAUGGAUGGGGAGCUGCAAGGGGAUGGAGUAGGGAAGAUGAUCUUCCCUAGGAAUUUGGCUGUCUGGUGGCCAAUCUCCUCUCUGACCACCGACAGCCAAACUCCUCUCAGCAUUCAGACACUCUUUCUCUUCUUUCUGCUGCGCCGCUCUGCUGUUCUCCGGCUCUUCUGUUUGUCUCCUUCUCAUCUGCUUCUAGAGCCUGGGGUCUGGGGUUUAUAUGAGUAUAGGAUGGGGGUCAUGACAGGCCAAAAGGUAACUUUUGGGAACAAAAACAGGAAUGUCUGUUCUCAUUUAGGGCCACAGGUUUCCAGGAUUGAAGGCGGGGCGUUUGCCAGGGAACUACCCUCUUCAACCCAAUAUUUCCCUGUCUCCUGUCCAUAUCAAUUGCUGGGAGAAUUAAUUUGAAUUUAAUAGCUUUUCUGAAGCCUGUGAGUCCUUCUAGUGAGUCAGCCUUCAUGUUGUAUUGAGAAUCCCUGACACCCUAUGCAAUUUUAAUUGUUUUCUUCUACACAAUUGAAAAUUUUAAUUACUUUUAAAGGAAUGGGGUUUUACAUUUAUUCAUUCAUUAAUAAAUUAUUAUUGAGUGCCUUCUAUGUAUCAGUCUUAUUUUAGGUUGUAGAAAUACCACAAAGUAUGAAAUAAAAUUUCUAUCUUUAAUAUCCAUUUAAAACACAGAAUACAAAAGGAAACAAAUUAAAAUAAUAUUCUAAUAUAAUUUGCAUUUUACCAAAUAAAUAGACUUUGUGUGAAGAAUUUAUAUUAAAGCUAUUGGAGAGAACUGAUCCCCCUUAAGGAAUUUCUUUUUUGUAUAGCAGAUUAUCUGAAGGUGUAAUAUCAGGGCUUUCUUCCCUGCUAGGAGUUUGAUUUCAAUUAAUGCAAGUAUCAGAUGUAAAGAAGGGCAAUAGCAAGUGAUAAAGACUUACACUCAAGUGCUACUCUAUUAUACUUGGGGAUGAAUAUUUCAUGGUCAAUUCUGGAAGGGGUUAAGUAUAGAAAUUGAACAGUGGUAAGUGGCUGCCUCAGGAGAAAAGGUAGCAGUAAUUACCUCUGAAGGGAAGAAGAUUCAAUAAACAAGGAUGUUGGAGAGCUUUGGAAAUAAGCUUUACAUAUCACAAACUAUCUAUUAGUGGAAUGUGCCUAGUAAAAAAGAAUAAAAAAUGUAAUUUCCACAGGAUUCUCUAUGCAGAAACAAAACACAAAAAGGGGAAAAAAAUGGCCUUUUCUUCCCACCCACUCAGGGUAAUUUCUUAAGUCUUUUAUGAUCUGAUAAGAAAUGGAAAAGAAAUUCAAUUUGUAGUUAGAAAAGAAACUAAAAAUUAAUCACCUAAAGAAAAAAGUUUACAAAUUUUUCAUAGGUAUAACUUUUUAAAGGUUCCAUUGUGCUUCAUUUAGAAAACUUAAAUAUGAUUUAACAAUUUGUCAUUUUGGUGAAAGAACUAUUUUAUUUCUUUUAUAGACCCAUUGAUUUUGUCCUCUAAAUUACUGCAACUAAAUGGUUUUCUUCUCAACAAAUCAUGAUUUUUUCUUCCUUUUGUUCAAAGUUGUGAGGGCUUUUCUUUGCUAUUUACAUCUGUGAAUUCCAUUCAUUUGAACAAACUGUAAAAAUGUAAAUGAAAAUAAAGGAGUAGGUGUGGAGAAUUAUAAGUUUGUAGUAGAGUGGGAUUUCUCAGCCUCAAAUCUCUUCAUACUUAUUGAAAUUUAUUUAAAGUUUAACACUUUGGAAAAAAUCAAAAUUAACAAAAACAUUCUUAACACCUACAAAUUUCUAUUUACCUCUUAAUUUUACUUUCAAAAACAUUUUAAUCCAUAUAUUUUAUUAGAAUGUAUUCAAUAAAGAGAAAUAUUUUUCUAUGGUACAUAUUCCCAGGUCUUCUUAUUUCCUAUAACUAAAUAAAAUGAGAAUGGAAAAUAGUCAGUGAAGAUUGAACUUCUCUUCCACUAAAAGAAGAUAUCAAAAUAUUUUAUUAGAAAUCACAAAGAAACUGGUGAGUUCACUGUUCCUAUUUUAAGUAUGAAAACUAAAAACAGGUACACAAAAUAAUUUAUAAUCUUUAAUUUUCUAAGUUAACUAUAUUCAUUUAUUUCUUUGUAUAUUUUAUGUUAUUACUCACAUGCAUAUAAACAUGUUUAAGCAAAAAUUUAUGUAAAAUAUCAUUGUUACCGGCUGAAUUGUUCCUGUCUUGUCCCCCUCCUCAAAAACAUUUCUAUGUUGAACCUCCCGGUAUCUCAGAAUGUGACUGUAUGUGGAGACAGGUGUGGGGUUGAGAUAGGUAAGUAAGCAGGAAGGAGGAAGGGGCCCCAGGUUGGGACAAACAAUUGUUCUGAGAGACAGCUAAUCACAAUCCAUUGGCACAACAUUCUGUUCCCAAAUACCUGGUUCCCCACAUAGUCUCUUCAGCACCACCUUAUAAAACUUCCCUCCAGCCCCUGCCACUUUCCAGGCAGCCCCUUCUCUGCCAUACUGCCCAUUGCUUUUUUGCAAUGUACUUUUCCUCUAAUAAAUCUGCCUUUCUUCCCCAA